rnacentral:rRNA from 1 species
UACGUAGGGAGCAAGCGUUGUCCGGAAUCAUUGGGCGUAAAGCGCGCGUAGGUGGCCUCAUAAGUCCGCUGUGAAAGUCAAAGGCUCAACCUUUGAAAGCCGGUGGAUACUGUGAGGCUAGAGUACGGAAGAGGCGAGUGGAAUUCCUGGUGUAGCGGUGGAAUGCGCAGAUAUCAGGAGGAACACCAAUAGCGAAGGCAGCUCGCUGGGACGUUACUGACACUGAGGCGCGAAGCGUGGGAGCAAACAGGA